AGGUAUACCAAAUUGAGCAUGCCUGGCUCCCUGUAUGCCUGCAGGAGUACUGUCCGGUAAACAGCACAAGGGACUGGUGCUGUGACCAAGGGGGUUCCCGGGGAACAUUGGUGUUGGAAGUUGGCCUUCAAGGGGAAAGUCAGAGUGCUGGGGAAUGCGGAGCUUUUUCCUUGGUGGAGAGAAGGGUGGUAGAUGGAUAGCUGGCAUGUUCGAUACCAGUUCAACCA
rnacentral:miRNA from 15 species